rnacentral:rRNA from 1 species
CCUACGGGUGGCAGCAGUAGGGAAUCUUUCACAAUGGGCGAAAGCCUGAUGGAGCAACGCCGCGUGCAGGAUGAAGGCCUUCGGGUUGUAAACUGCUUUUAUAAGCGAGAAAUAUGAUGGUAACUUAUGAAUAAGGAUCGGCUAACUACGUGCCAGCAGCCGCGGUCAUACGUAGGAUCCGAGCAUUAUCCGGAGUGACUGGGUGUAAAGAGUUGCGUAGGUGGCAUAAUAAGUAGCUAGUGAAAUCUGGUGGCUCAACCAUUCAGACUAUUAGCUAAACUGUUAAGCUCGAGACCGUUAGGGGCAUCUGGAAUUUCUAGUGUAGGAGUGAAAUCCGUAGAUAUGUGGAAGAACAUCGAUGGCGAAGGCAGCCUCCUGGGACAUAACUGACGCUCAGGCACGAAAGCGUGGGGAGCAAACAGGAUUAGAUACCCUGGUAGUC